CACCGCGGUUAUACGAGGGGCCCAAGUUAACAGAAAACGGCACAAAGGGUGGUUAAGGACAUGACAAGAACUAAAGCAAAACCCUUUCAAUGCUGUGAUACGCCCCCGAAAGUGUGAAACUCAAUUACGAAAGUAGCUUUAACAACCCUGAACCCACGAAAGCUGGGGAA
rnacentral:rRNA from 1 species